CGAACGCUGGCGGCGUGCCUAAUACAUGCAAGUCGAGCGCAGGAAGCUCGCGGAACUCUUCGGAGGGAAGCGAGUGGAAUGAGCGGCGGACGGGUGAGUAACACGUAAGGAACCUGCCUCAAGGAUUGGGAUAACUCCGAGAAAUCGGAGCUAAUACCGGAUAGUUCUUCGGACCGCAUGGUCCGAUGAUGAAAGGCGCUUCGGCGUCACCUUGAGAUGGCCUUGCGGUGCAUUAGCUAGUUGGUGGGGUAAUGGCCUACCAAGGCGACGAUGCAUAGCCGAACUGAGAGGGUGAUCGGCCAAACUGGGACUGAGACACGGCCCAGACUCCUACGGGAGGCAGCAGUAGGGAAUCUUCCACAAUGGACGAAAGUCUGAUGGAGCAACGCCGCGUGAGUGAUGAAGGUUUUCGGAUCGUAAAACUCUGUUGUAAGGGAAGAACAGAUACGAGAGGUAAUGCUCGUAUCCUGACGGUACCUUGCGAGAAAGCCACGGCUAACUAC
rnacentral:rRNA from 1 species